rnacentral:rRNA from 1 species
UUCCGAACAAAUGACUACGAGAUCUAUUUGAAGAAAGUCUGUGCAUAUAUAUAUAAUUCUUGUAGAGGGAAAUGCCUUCAAAUUUGUGAUACUUGAUGCUUUGACAUAUAUUAGUAUUAAGAAAACUAUUGAGCGCUAAGGUUCUGUAGAUAAAUAAAUGUCUUAUCUUUUAAAAUGCAUGAUUUAACAAUCAACAGAUAUUUAAUAUAUUAUAUAAAUAGUAAGUUUGUUAUAAUUAAGAAGCAAUAAUUAAUUAUAUUAAAUAUUUUAAAUGUUAUUAUUAGUAAUAAAUAGAUAUUUAUAAUGAACUCGGCAAAGUACUCUUCAACUGUUUAUCAAAAACAUAGCUACUAGAUUUUACUAGUGGUAAGUUCUGCUCAAUGAAUUUUAAAUAGCCGCAGUACACUGACUGUGCUAAGGUAGCAUAAUCGGUUGGCUUAUAAUUGAAGUCUUGUAUGAAGGAAUACAUGGGGAGAAACUGUAUCUUAAAUAUAAAAUGAAAUUGCUAAGUAAGUGAAAAUUCUUACGUAUAUAUAAUAGACGAGAAGACCCUAGAAAUUUUUAAUACAUAUAUUCAUAGUGGUUUUUUGUUGGGGCAACAGUGUAACAUAUAAUUUACAUUAUUAGUACAAGAAAUUUAUUGAUAGCUUAAAUUACUCUAGGGAUAACAGCGUAAUAUAUAUAUGAUUGCGACCUCGAUGUUGGAUUAGGAAGCGAAAACU